AAAACUGGAGUCAGCUGGCUACUGUGAGGACAAGAAAGAGUCAGUGCCUGGAGGAGCUGUCUGUGAGAAACCUCAAUGAGGCCUGCUCCGAGCUGGGGCUGGCAGCUCCCAGCAGGGCCCUGCACCCAGGCCCUUGGAAAUAACCCACAAGUUCCAAGCCCUGGCUUCAGAGAUCUCUCAUCUCCAUCCAUCCCCACGAUCCUAACCCUAAUGCUCCUACAGUGCCCUGCAUCUCUGGGCCAGCUGUGACUCUGUGUGUGUAGGGCUGGGAACCACCCAGAGCAGGGCUGCUCCUGGCCUUGGUGGCAUCACCUGGCCCUGAAGGUCAGCACACAUUUUUUAGGAGUGAGCUUCAGAAGAUCCAUUGAGUUUUCCCAAUUUAUCCUUCUCCUCUUGCUGGUUGCUGUCCCCUUUAGGAAGAACAGUCAUUGCAUCACUGAUUUCUCCAUGGAAUGUGAACUCUGCCCCACAGGAGAUUGAAGCACUCUGUUCUACAACAUGCCACAUACUUGGAUACCAGAGUCCCUCAGGAUAAGAACUGAUUGAAUUGCACAUUUGUCUGAAGCAAAAAGAAAAAAGACUUCAAUACUGGAUGAAUCAUGGACAAAUCUGUAAACCAGGCUGGAUAAAGUGAACAUUAAACUUCAAAUUUAGGUAUUGA